ensembl:misc_RNA 7SK 7SK RNA
GGAUGUGAGGGUGAUCUGGCUGCGACAUCUGUCACCCCAUUGAUCGCCAGGGUUGAUUCGGCUGAUCUGGCUGGCUAGGCAGGUGUCCCCUUCCUCACCGCUCCAUGUGUGUCCUUCCCGAAGCUGCGCGCUCGGUCGAAGAGGAAGACCAUCCCCGAUAGAGGAGGGCUGGUCUUCGGUCAAGGGUGUACUAGUAGCUGUGCUCCUCUGCUAGAACCUCCAAACAAGCUCUCAAGGUCCAAAUUCCUGAUAGAAAGAAAUUAGUACAAACAGAUCAUGUGUCCAAGGGUCU